rnacentral:rRNA from 1 species
UUAUCCGAGUGGUUUCUGCUAAAGAAACCUUUUGUCAGUCCUAGAAACACUAACGAAUAAGGGGUGGGCAAGUUCUGGUGUCAGCCGCCGCGGUAAAACUAGCACCUCAAGUGGUCAGGAUGAUUAUUGGGCCUAAAGCAUCCGUAGCUCGUUUUGUAAGUUUUCGGUUAAAUCCAUGCGCUUAACGUAUGGGCUGCCGGGAAUACUGCAUAACUAGGAAGUGGGAGAGGUAGACGGUACUCGGUAGGAAGGGGUAAAAUCCUUUGAUCUAUUGAUGACCACCUGUGGCGAAGGCGGUCUACCAGAACACGUUCGACGGUGAGGGAUGAAAGCUGGGGGAGCAAACCGGAUUAGAUACCCGGGUAGUCCCAGCUGUAAACUAUGCAAACUCAGUGAUGCAUUGGCUUGUGGCCAAUGCAGUGCUGCAGGGAAGCCGUUAAGUUUGCCGCCUGGGAAGUACGUACGCAAGUAUGAAACUUAAAGGAAUUGGCGGGGGAGCACCACAAGGGGUGAAGCCUGCGGUUCAAUUGGAGUCAACGCCAGAAAUCUUACCCGGAGAGACAGCAGAAUGAAGGUCAAGCUGAAGACUUUACCAGACAAGCUGAGAGGUGGUGCAUGGCCGUCGCCAGCUCGUGCCGUGAGAUGUCCUGUUAAGUCAGGUAACGAGCGAGAUCCCUGCCUCUAGUUGCCACCAUUACUCUCAGGAGUAGUGGGGCGAAUUAGCGGGACCGCCGCAGUUAAUGCGGAGGAAGGAGGGGGCCACGGCAGGUCAGUAUGCCC